rnacentral:rRNA from 1 species
GACGAACGCUGGCGGCGUGCUUAACACAUGCAAGUCGAACGGAAAGGCCCUGCUUUUGUGGGGUGCUCGAGUGGCGAACGGGUGAGUAACACGUGAGUAACCUGCCCUUGACUUUGGGAUAACUUCAGGAAACUGGGGCUAAUACCGGAUAGGAGCUCCUGCUGCAUGGUGGGGGUUGGAAAGUUUCGGCGGUUGGGGAUGGACUCGCGGCUUAUCAGCUUGUUGGUGGGGUAGUGGCUUACCAAGGCUUUGACGGGUAGCCGGCCUGAGAGGGUGACCGGCCACAUUGGGACUGAGAUACGGCCCAGACUCCUACGGGAGGCAGCAGUGGGGAAUAUUGCACAAUGGGCGGAAGCCUGAUGCAGCAACGCCGCGUGCGGGAUGACGGCCUUCGGGUUGUAAACCGCUUUCGCCUGUGACGAAGCGUGAGUGACGGUAAUGGGUAAAGAAGCACCGGCUAACUACGUGCCAGCAGCCGCGGUGAUACGUAGGGUGCGAGCGUUGUCCGGAUUUAUUGGGCGUAAAGGGCUCGUAGGUGGUUGAUCGCGUCGGAAGUGUAAUCUUGGGGCUUAACCCUGAGCGUGCUUUCGAUACGGGUUGACUUGAGGAAGGUAGGGGAGAGUGGAAUUCCUGGUGGAGCGGUGGAAUACGCAGAUAUCAGGAGGAACACCAGUGGCGAAGGCGGUUCUCUGGGCCUUUCCUGACGCUGAGGAGCGAAAGCGUGGGGAGCGAACAGGCUUAGAUACCCUGGUAGUCCACGCUGUAAACGGUGGGUACUAGGUGUGGGGUCCAUUCCACGGGUUCCGUGCCGUAGCUAACGCUUUAAGUACCCCGCCUGGGGAGUACGGCCGCAAGGCUAAAACUCAAAGGAAUUGACGGGGCCCCGCACAAGCGGCGGAGCAUGCGGAUUAAUUCGAUGCAACGCGUAGAACCUUACCUGGGUUUGACAUGGAUCGGGAGUGCUCAGAGAUGGGUGUGCCUCUUUUGGGGUCGGUUCACAGGUGGUGCAUGCCUGUCGUCAGCUCGUGUCGUGAGAUGUUGGGUUAAGUCCCGCAACGAGCGCAACCCUUGUUCACUGUUGCCAGCACGUUAUGGUGGGGACUCAGUGGAGACCGCCGGGGUCAACUCGGAGGAAGGUGGGGAUGACGUCAAGUCCUCAUGCCCCUUAUGUCCAGGGCUUCACGCAUGCUACAAUGGCUGGUACAGAGAGUGGCGAGCCUGUGAGGGUGAGCGAAUCUCGGAAAGCCGGUCUCAGUUCGGAUUGGGGUCUGCAACUCGACCUCAUGAAGUCGGAGUCGCUAGUAAUCGCAGAUCAGCAACGCUGCGGUGAAUACGUUCCCGGG